rnacentral:rRNA from 1 species
AGGACGAACGCUGGCGGCGUGCUUAACACAUGCAAGUCGAGCGGUAAGGCCCUUUCGGGGUACACGAGCGGCGAACGGGUGAGUAACACGUGGGUGACCUGCCCUUAGCUCUGGGAUAAGCCUGGGAAACUGGGUCUAAUACCGGAUAUGACUCCAUGACGCAUGUUGUGGGGUGGAAAGCCUUGUGCGGCUAGGGAUGGGCCCGCGGCCUAUCAGCUUGUUGGUGGGGUGAUGGCCUACCAAGGCGACGACGGGUA